AGUGAACGCUGGCGGUAGGCCUAACACAUGCAAGUCGAACGGCAGCACAGUAAGAGCUUGCUCUUACGGGUGGCGAGUGGCGGACGGGUGAGGAAUACAUCGGAAUCUACUUUUUCGUGGGGGAUAACGUAGGGAAACUUACGCUAAUACCGCAUACGACCUACGGGUGAAAGCAGGGGAUCUUCUGACCUUGCGCGAUUGAAUGAGCCGAUGUCGGAUUAGCUAGUUGGCGGGGUAAAGGCCCACCAAGGCGACGAUCCGUAGCUGGUCUGAGAGGAUGGUAAGCCACACUGGAACUGAGACACGGUCCAGACUCCUACGGGAGGCAGCAGUGGGGAAUAUUGGACAAAGGGCGCAAGCCUGAUACAGCCAUACCGCGUGGGUGAAGAAGGCCUUCGGGUUGUAAAGCCCUUUUGUUGGGAAAGAAAAGCAGCAGGUUAAUACCCCGCUGUUCUGACGGUACCCAAAGAAUAAGCACCGGCUAACUUCGUG
rnacentral:rRNA from 1 species